AUCGAUGUUAUCGUCACCAGUGCCCUCUCAUGUAAGAAAUUUGACAUGAACUGCCACACAAACACUCAUUUCUUUCAUUCACAUUUGAAAAUUUUCAUGCUUAUCAACAGAGCAUGCAUUUCAUCAACACGUCUUGGACUCUCAAAUUUCAACGAGAAUAUAAUUUUAGGCCCUACUAGCUAGAAAAACGAUGAACUUGACUGCAUAAAAACACAAACAGG